rnacentral:sRNA from 12 species
AACGGAACCAAUGGCAAUAUUCGAUAUUUUCU